rnacentral:lncRNA from 1 species
AACGGUUCGAUUCAUGCUACAUGCUUUCUGUGAAAUUUACUUAGCAAUUGAAUUUUACAAUUUUAUCCAUUGAGUUCUUCAAGAACUAUAUAAUAAAUCACUAUCAAUUUACAAUCCUUCAAGGAUGUAGGAAUAUUGAAUUCAUCUAGAAUUCAUUGAAGAGAAAAAGAAGUAUUUUAUUAGUUCUUCAGGAACUAUAUAACACAUAAAA